rnacentral:tRNA from 1 species
UCCGAGUUAGUAUAUCGGCUAGUAUGACCGCCUUUCACGGUUGGACCGCGGUAGAGACGGGUUCGAUUCCCGUACUCGGAA